GACCCUCUCUGCCACUGAGUGCUGUUUGGCAGCGCAAUGAAGUAUCAGUGCAUUUAAUCCAUCGUAACCCUCUGAAUACUAAACUGAUUUUCA